CAAGGCUCAGGAAAGUGAAGUGUCUGGUCCAAGAUCACACAGCAGAUAAGAGGUAGAGCAAGGAAUAGAACAAAGAGAACUGUCUUGACCUGCCAGUGGUUGCUUCUGGGAAUCUAGGGUCCGGAGUCAGCCAGGAAGCCUAUUAGUGUGUGAACUCUAUUCCUUUCUGAAAAACAGAGUUCAGAGAUUGAGUUGUCACAGAUGUAGACAGGGAACAUGGAAGACAAACAAACUGAAUUUUGUCCAGUUUGGGUUGGACCUCCAGUCCCUGGAGUACAGGCUCUUCCUGGACUAACCGAUUUGGAAGGGGUGGCUAAGUAUUAGUAGAGCAGAGAGUUGCAUUCAAUUGAAGUGGGAUUGAUUGUCUGUGUCUGUAGACCUCACCUCUCCCGAGGUUGGGGUCAUUGGAAAGAGCGAGAAUUGAGCGUUUACAAAACAACAGAAAUGGUUGCCUGAAACACCUACCCCUUUCUCACUAGCUUCCGGGUCGUUGAUUCUCCCGGAGACAUCAAUAUGUGGUGACUGCGAUGUGGUCCUCAGGUGCUGAGAGAGGGCAGGGUGAGAAACCCAAGCGUUCAGGAGCAUCAAUCCAGAUGUCCCUGCCAAGGUUUCAGAUGGGCAUCGGACCAGACCAGCAGAGGAGCUCCAAUUAUACGCCACCGAUGCUCCGGGGUCCUUUACCGUGGUGCCGGAAGAGGCCUCGGCAGAGCACCGUCAGACCACUUAGGCGGCAGAGUGCUGCUGGAGGGAAUGUAUGUACUAGGACCACCUCGACGAUCUCAUAGGCGGGGAGCCGAGGUGAGGGAAGGCACCGAUAGAACGGACUAGGUCGCGAUGGACCACUCGCCCGCCUUUCAUCCGGAUAAGGCCCGCUCGAGCUCUCCACGGCCACGAGGCUGUUGACCGUGCAGUGUGGACACCGACCGGUUGGCUGCCCGGGCU